UACGGAGGGAGCUAGCGUUGUUCGGAAUUACUGGGCGUAAAGGGCUCGUAGGCGGCCAACUAAGUCGGAUGUGAAAUCCCCAGGCUUAACCUGGGAACUGCAUCCGAUACUGGAUGGCUUGAAUCCGGGAGAGGGAUGCAGAAUUCCAGGUGUAGCGGUGAAAUGCGUAGAUAUCUGGAGGAAUACCGGUGGCGAAGGCGGCAUCCUGGACCGGCAUUGACGCUGAGGAGCGAAAGCUAGGGGAGCAAACGGG
rnacentral:rRNA from 1 species